CAGUCGCCGCGGUAAAACAGAGGGUGCAAGCGUUAAUCGGAAUUACUGGGCGUAAAGCGCGCGUAGGUGGUUCGCCAAGUUGGAUGUGAAAUCCCCGGGCUCAACCUGGGAACUGCAUCCAAAACUGGCGAGCUAGAGUAUGGUAGAGGGUGGUGGAAUUUCCUGUGUAGCGGUGAAAUGCGUAGAUAUAGGAAGGAACGUCAGUGGCGAAGGCGACCACCUGGACUGAUACUGACACUGAGGUGCGAAAGCGUGGGGAGCAAACAGGAUUAGAUACCCCGGUAGUCCCUGUCUCUUAUAA
rnacentral:rRNA from 1 species